CCUACGGGAGGCAGCAGUAGGGAAUCUUCCACAAUGGGCGAAAGCCUGAUGGAGCAACGCCGCGUGGGUGAAGAAGGUCUUCGGAUCGUAAAACCCUGUUGUUAGAGAAGAAAGUGCGUGAGAGUAACUGUUCACGUUUCGACGGUAUCUAUCCAGAUCGCCUCGGCUAACUACGUGCCCGCAGCCGCGGUAAUAGGUAGGUGGCAAGCGUUGUCCGGUUUUAUUGGGCGUAAAGGGAACGCAGGCGGUCUUUUAAGUCUGAUGUGAAAGCCUUCGGCUUAACCGGAGUAGUGCAUUGGAUACUGGGAGACUUGAGUGCAGAAGAGGAGAGUGGAACUCGAGGUGUAGCGGUGAAAUGCGUAGAUAUAUGGAAGAACACCAGUGGCGAAAGCGGCUCUCUGGUCUGUAACUGACGCUGAGGUUCGAAAGCGUGGGUAGCAAACAGGAUUAGAUACCCGUGUAGUC
rnacentral:rRNA from 1 species